rnacentral:lncRNA from 1 species
AAUAUUUCUCUACAUAUGUGAAGUAGCUUGAGUAGAACAAAAAUAUCCCCUAAGAAAAAACCUAGCAAUAUGCCCUCUUUCACCACAAGUAUAACAAGGGCCACCAACUCCAAAACAAUGCCCACUUUGAUUCCUACCAUAAUUAGAACAUUUUGGAUGUUGCUCAAAUUGAAAGAAACUGCUACCCUUCCUCUACUACUG